GACGAACGCUGGCGGCGUGCCUAACACAUGCAAGUCGAGCGGUAGCACAGGGAGCUUGCUCCUGGGUGACGAGCGGCGGACGGGUGAGUAAUGUCUGGGAAACUGCCUGAUGGAGGGGGAUAACUACUGGAAACGGUAGCUAAUACCGCAUAACGUCGCAAGACCAAAGAGGGGGACCUUCGGGCCUCUUGCCAUCAGAUGUGCCCAGAUGGGAUUAGCUAGUAGGUGGGGUAACGGCUCACCUAGGCAACGAUCCCUAGCUGGUCUGAGAGGAUGACCA
rnacentral:rRNA from 1 species